CCCUUAGAUGUCCUGGGCCGCACGCGUGCUACACUGAUGCAUACAGCGAGUACUCCCAGCUCCGAGAGGCUGCUGGUAAUCAGCAAUAUGCAUCGUGAUGGGGAUAGAUCUUUGGAAUUGUAGAUCUUGAACGAGGAAUUCCUAGUAAUCGCAGGUCAUCACCCUGCGUUGACUAAGUCCCUGCCCUUUGUACACACCGCCCGUCGCUCCUACCGAUUUCGAGUGAUCCGGUGAAUCAUUCGGACCGCGGCCCCUAGGCAUGCGGAAAGUCUAGUAAACCAUAUCACUUAGAGGAAGGAGAAGUCGUAACA
rnacentral:rRNA from 1 species